CAUCAUCAGAAAGACAUAACUAAAUCAACAUAUUAUGAAUAAUAAUUCUGACAGCCAGAUGAGCACCAAGCGUGUGGCACCUCCAAUAAUCAUCGAAACUGUUAGACCCAUUAUCACCAAUUUAAUAAAAGACUAUGAUCUAGCUAUCACCAUAACUAUUUUAUUUUUAGGGACCUAACAAUUUUAGAUGAUUUAAUUAGUUGA
rnacentral:lncRNA from 1 species